rnacentral:rRNA from 1 species
GACGAACGCUGGCGGCGUGCUUAACACAUGCAAGUCGAACGGAAAGGCCCUGCUUUUGUGGGGUGCUCGAGUGGCGAACGGGUGAGUAACACGUGAGUAACCUGCCCUUGACUUUGGGAUAACUUCAGGAAACUGGGGCUAAUACCGGAUAGGAGCUCCUGCUGCAUGGUGGGGGUUGGAAAGUUUCGGCGGUCGUGGAUGGACUCGCGGCUUAUCAGCUUGUUGGUGGGGUAGUGGCUUACCCAGUCUUUGACGGGUAGCCGGCCUGAGAGGGUGACCGGCCACAUUGGGACUGCGGGACGGACCAGACUCCUACGGGAGGCAGCAGGGGGGAAUAUUGCACAACGGUCGGAAGCCUGAUGCAGCAACGCCGCGUUCGGGAUGACGGCCUGCGGGGUGUAAACCGCUUUCGCCUGUGACGAAGCGUGAGUGACGGUAAUGGGUAAAGAAGCACCGGCUAACUACGUG